GGGGCUGUAGCUCAGUGGUAAAGUGCUUGCCUUGCAUGUGUGAGGAACUGGAUUCGAUCUUCAGCACCACA
rnacentral:tRNA from 1 species